rnacentral:rRNA from 1 species
UGAGGAAUAUUGGGCAAUGCCCGCAAGGGUGACCCAGCAACGCCGCGUGGAGGAUGAAUGUCGUAAGAUUGUAAACUCCUGUUAGAGGGGAAGAAUAGUACCGGUUGGACCGGUAUAUGACUGUACCCUCAGAGAAAGCCCCGGCUAACUACGUGCCAGCAGCCGCGGUAAUACGUAGGGGGCAAGCGUUGUCCGGAUUUACUGGGUGUAAAGGGCGAGCAGGCGGGAUAAAAAGUCAGUGGUGAAAUCCUACAGCUUAACUGUAGAACUGCCUUUGAUACUUCUAUUCGUGAGUUCGGGAGAGAGAGACGGAAUUCCAGGUGUAGUGGUGAAGUACGUAGAUAUCUGGAAGAACACCAGUUGCGAAGGCGGUCUCUUGGUCCGACACUGACGCUGAGGCGCGAAAGCGUGGGGAGCAAACA